CGUAGGGGGCAAGCGUUGUCCGGAAUUAUUGGGCGUAAAGAGCGCGCAGGCGGGUCUGUCAGUCUACCGUGAAAGCUUACGGCUCAACCGUAACGGGUCGGUGGAUACUGCAGAUCUUGAGGGCAGGAGAGGAAAGUGGAAUUCCCAGCGUAGCGGUGAAAUGCGUAGAUAUUGGGAGGAACACCAGUGGCGAAGGCGACUUUCUGGACUGUUACUGACGCUGGGGCGCGAAAGCUGGGGGAGUGAACGGGAUUAGAUACCCCGGUAGUCCACCCCGUAAACGUUGGGAACUAGUUGUGGGGACCAUUCCACGGUUUCCGUGACGCAGCUAACGCAUUAAGUUCCCCGCCUGGGGAGUACGGCCGCAAGGCUA
rnacentral:rRNA from 1 species